rnacentral:rRNA from 1 species
ACAAGCGAGCGGCGGACGGGUGAGUAACACGUGGGUAACCUGCCCAAGAGACUGGGAUAACACCUGGAAACAGAUGCUAAUACCGGAUAACAACACUAGACGCAUGUCUAGAGUUUGAAAGAUGGUUCUGCUAUCACUCUUGGAUGGACCUGCGGUGCAUUAGCUAGUUGGUAAGGUAACGGCUUACCAAGGCAAUGAUGCAUAGCCGAGUUGAGAGACUGAUCGGCCACAUUGGGACUGAGACACGGCCCAAACUCCUACGGGAGGCAGCAGUAGGGAAUCUUCCACAAUGGACGAAAGUCUGAUGGAGCAACGCCGCGUGAGUGAAGAAGGGUUUCGGCUCGUAAAGCUCUGUUGGUAGUGAAGAAAGAUAGAGGUAGUAACUGGCCUUUAUUUGACGGUAAUUACUUAGAAAGUCACGGCUAACUACGUGCCAGCAGCCGCGGUAAUACGUAGGUGGCAAGCGUUGUCCGGAUUUAUUGGGCGUAAAGCGAGUGCAGGCGGUUCAAUAAGUCUGAUGUGAAAGCCUUCGGCUCAACCGGAGAAUUGCAUCAGAAACUGUUGAACUUGAGUGCAGAAGAGGAGAGUGGAACUCCAUGUGUAGCGGUGGAAUGCGUAGAUAUAUGGAAGAACACCAGUGGCGAAGGCGGCUCUCUGGUCUGCAACUGACGCUGAGGCUCGAAAGCAUGGGUAGCGAACAGGAUUAGAUACCCUGGUAGUCCAUGCCGUAAACGAUGAGUGCUAAG